UACAGAGACUGCAAGCGUUAUUCGGAUUCACUGGGCGUAAAGGGCGCGCAGGCGGUUGGGUGUGUCAGAUGUGAAAUCCCGAGGCUUAACCUCGGAACUGCGUCUGAAACUACUCGACUAGAGUACUGGAGAGGGUAACGGAAUUCACGGUGUAGCAGUGAAAUGCGUAGAUAUCGUGAGGAACACCAGAGGCGAAGGCGGUUACCUGGACAGUUACUGACGCUCAGGCACGAAAGCAUGGGGAGCAAAAGGG
rnacentral:rRNA from 1 species